GACGAACGCUGGCGGCGUGCUUAACACAUGCAAGUCGAGCGGUAAGGCUCCUUCGGGAGUACACGAGCGGCGCACGGGUGAGUAACACGUGAGUAACCUGCCCCAUUCAUCGGAAUAACCAGUGGAAACGCUGGCUAAUGCCGAAUACGACCACCGAAGGCAUCUUCUGGUGGUGGAAAGCUCCGGCGGAGUGGGAUGGACUCGCGGCCUAUCAGCUUGUUGGUGAGGUAACGGCUCACCAAGGCGACGACGGGUAGCCGGCCUGAGAGGGUGACCGGCCACACUGGGACUGAGACACGGCCCAGACUCCUACGGGAGGCAGCAGUGGGGAAUAUUGGACAAUGGGCGAAAGCCUGAUCCAGCAACGCCGCGUGAGGGAUGACGGCCUUCGGGUUGUAAACCUCUUUCAGCAGGGACGAAGCGAAAGUGACGGUACCUGCAGAAGAAGGACCGGCCAACUACGUG
rnacentral:rRNA from 1 species